UACGAAGGGGGCUAGCGUUGUUCGGAAUCACUGGGCGUAAAGCGCACGUAGGCGGCUUUCUAAGUCAGGGGUGAAAUCCUGGAGCUCAACUCCAGAACUGCCUUUGAUACUGGAGAGCUUGAGUCCGGAAGAGGUGAGUGGAACUCCGAGUGUAGAGGUGAAAUUCGUAGAUAUUCGGAAGAACACCAAUGGCGAAGGCAGCUCACUGGUCCGGUACUGACGCUGAGGUGCGAAAGCGUGGGGAGCAAACAGG
rnacentral:rRNA from 1 species